UUCGGCUUAGAGUUUGAUCAUGGCUCAGAUUGAACGCUGGCGGUAUGCUUAACACAUGCAAGUCGAACGGAAACGAUGGAAGCUUGCUUCCAGGCGUCGAGUGGCGGACGGGUGAGUAACGCGUAGGAAUCUGCCAGAUAGUGGGGGAUAGCCCGGAGAAAUCCGGAUUAAUACCGCAUAAUCUCCAUGGAGUAAAGAGGGCCUCUAUUUAUAAGCUUUCGCUAUCUGAUGAGCCUGCGUAAGAUUAGCUAGUUGGUGGGGUAAUGGCCUACCAAGGCGACGAUCUUUAGCUGGUCUGAGAGGAUGAUCAGCCACACUGGGACUGAGACACGGCCCAGACCCCUACGGGAGGCAGCAGUGGGGAAUAUUGGACAAUGGGGGCAACCCUGAUCCAGCAAUACCGCGUGUGUGAAGAAGGCCUGAGGGUUGUAAAGCACUUUCAAUUGUGAAGAAAAGUUAAUAGUUAAUACCUAUUAGCCUUGACGUUAACUUUAGAAGAAGCACCGGCUAACUCCGUGCCAGCAGCCGCGGUAAUACGGAGGGUGCAAGCGUUAAUCGGAAUUACUGGGCGUAAAGCGUGCGUAGGCGGUUGACUAAGUCAGAUGUGAAAGCCCCGGGCUUAACCUG
rnacentral:rRNA from 1 species